GGCUCCCGCCCCUCGUGAUCGUCUUCUCACCUUUCACAGGGCAGGGCGGGAGAACGAGAAAGGGGCGGCCCCGGUGUGGAUGUGACACACCGGGACCGCCC
rnacentral:ncRNA from 1 species